GCUAGGUUUUCGAUCAGCCUUCUCUCCUAGCCACCACUCAACUUCUUCCGCACCACUCAAACUAUCCCUUACCUGCUGCAGCCAUGGCAGCCACAACAUCUGAAGCAGCAACCCAACAACCCAAAUUCCAACCUGCUUUUGCAAUCACCAACGUGAAAUCCAUCAUUCCAAUCACGUUGGAUAAUGAUCUUUGUUGGUUGCUCUUGUUUCAAGCUUAUGCUCUUGUUUCACACCCACUCUCACCGGGAUCAUUUCUCUCAUGGUAUGCGUUGUUUCAAGUUCAAGCUUGUGUUCAUAACGUGUUUGAUCAUAUCAUCCCUCCCACCGAUGAAAAAGAAAAACAAACAGCAUAAGCAACAAAGAAAAAUGAUCCCGCUCUCUGGAAAUGUCUCGACGCGGUCGAUUUGCAGUGGAUGUAUGCCACUGUAACCUAGGAUAUUCUCAGCUCCAUUCUGGUAAUCAAUGAUACUGCUGAAAGUUGUUGGAAAAGAAUUGCUACUAUGUUUCAAGAUAACAAGCAUUCGAGAGUAGUCCACCUCGAACAUCAAUACACCAACACAGACUUGGAUGAUUUCCAGUCAACAAAAGCAUACUGCAAUCGCCUGAAACUCCUCGCAGAUCAACUCUCAAAUGUUGAUUCUCCGGUCAACAACACUCGUCUCGUGUUGAAAAUGAUUUAUGGACUGACAGAUUCGUAUGCAAGUUUCGUUACAUACAUUCAACAACACGAUCCCUUGCCGACGUUUGAAACGGCAAAACCCCGACUGGAAUUAGAAGAAUCCACCAUGAUUCAACGCGUUGCACGCGAAUCCGGCAACCAAUCAUCUCCGACGGCCUUACUUAUGAAAUCAGAAGAUGCAAACUCAUCUCCCUCUGCCUCUCCUGUCAAUCCCGUGUGAUACCCUCUCAACAACAAUAACAACAGCAAUCGCGGCAACAACAACAACCGGGGUAGAAACAGUAACCGCGGUAACAAGGGGAAGAACUCUGGUAGAGGUGGUCGCAGUAACAACGGCGGUGGUGGCUCGGGUGGAUCUUAGAACUACGGCGGUGGAGGACGUGGUCAGUAUCCUCAAUGGCAGCAAAAAUUUCCUUGGCAACAAUACCCUUGGGCUCCUCCUUCAUGCCCUUACCCAUCUUAUUGGGCUAAACCCAACGCUGGCCCAAAACAACAACAAUCUGGUAUUCUUGGACCAAAACCCCAACCUACUGCUUUUACUGCCACUGGACCAAGCCUGACAGAUAUUGAAGCGGCUCUUCAUACUCUACAUCUUGCUCAGUCUGACCCUUCCUGGUAUAUGGACACUGGAGCAACAUCUCACAUGACAUCUACAAAUGGAUUUUCAGACGGGGAUGGUUCUAAUGAGAUGUGAGAGUCAAGGCCAGCUAUAUCCUAUCACCAAUGUAACCAAAAAUAAGACUGGUUUUCCUUCCGAGUUUGCAGCUUUAUCCACCUCUGUUUGGCACGACCGUUUGGGUCACCCAGGAGCAUCUAUUUUAGAUUCUCUUAUUCCUAAUUCAAAAAUAAAUUCAACUUUUUGUCA